CCAGACUCCUACGGGAGGCAGCAGUGAGGAAUAUUGGUCAAUGGGCGGAAGCCUGAACCAGCCAAGUCGCGUGAGGGAAGAAGGCCCUGCGGGUCGCAGACCUCUUUGGACGGGAAGCAAGGCCGCCGACGUGUCGGCGGAAGGAGAGUACCCGUAGAACAAGCAUCGGCUAACUCCGUGCCAGCAGCCGCGGUAAUACGGAGGAUGCGAGCGUUAUCCGGAUUUAUUGGGUUUAAAGGGUGCGCAGGCGGCCCGGCAAGCCGGCGGUCAAAUCGCGGGGCUCAACCCCGCCCAGCCGUCGGAACUGCCGGGCUAGAGUGGGCGAGAAGUGCGCGGAAUGCGUGGUGUAGCGGUGAAAUGCGUAGAUAUUAGGAGGAACACCAGUGGCGAAGGCGGCCUGCUGGACUGCAACUGACGUUGAGGCUCGAAGGCGUGGGGAGCAAACAGGAUUAGAUACCCCUGUAA
rnacentral:rRNA from 1 species